rnacentral:rRNA from 1 species
CAUGCAAGUCGAGGGGCAGCGGGAUUGAAGCUUGCUUCAAUUGGCGGCGACCGGCGCACGGGUGAGUAACGCGUAUCCAACCUUCCGUACACUCAGGGAUAGCCUUUCGAAAGAAAGAUUAAUACCUGAUGGUAUGAUGAGAUUGCAUGAUAGCAUCAUUAAAGAUUCAUCGGUGUACGAUGGGGAUGCGUUCCAUUAGGUAGUAGGCGGGGUAACGGCCCACCUAGCCUACGAUGGAUAGGGGUUCUGAGAGGAAGGUCCCCCACAUUGGAACUGAGACACGGUCCAAACUCCUACGGGAGGCAGCAGUGAGGAAUAUUGGUCAAUGGACGAGAGUCUGAACCAGCCAAGUAGCGUGAAGGAUGAAGGUCCUACGGAUUGUAAACUUCUUUUAUAAGGGAAUAAAACCUCCCACGUGUGGGAGCUUG